GCUGGGAGGGAAGGGGUAGAUUAUUCUACUUAUGGCAGUUUUCCCAUGGCCAGGCUACCCGACCCCUUCUCAUAGCCACCAGAGAAGAAUCUAGACACCUGUGGUUCUCCAGUGCACAGCAUAGGUAACCUCAGUGCCAAAGCUGGGCUUCUAUGCCUGCAACAGUACAGCGAAACGAGGCGGUGACCCGGGUGUAUAUGUGUGUGUGUGUGUGUGUGUGUGUGUGCGCGCAAUAGCUUCUCACUUGGCUUCUUAAUGGAUCUCUGAAACUCAAUCUGCACAGCCCUCAGCCCCAACUGCCACAGCCCAUUGAGAUGGGCCCCUCUAGCACUCACCUCCUGCCUUCUCCAGGUAGCACAAGGUCUCCUAAAUCAUGGGGCUGGUACUGUCAGCAAGGUCUAGCAUCCGGCUCCUCACAGCCUAAGAUCUAAGCCUUAGGAUGUGAGCCCCACUCCAUGCCGGGUACUUAAUGAAUCCUAGUGGGCUAAUGGAGCUGCUUCAAGUCUCAGCUGCAGCACUGCACUCCUAAGGUGCUGCAGUCCUGAGGCUUGAGCUCAGUCCUCGGAGCCUGGUGGAGGUGUAGACAAAGCUGGGCUGGUCAAGUUCCAGCUACUGACACUAUUCCUAUUCAGGUCCUCUGCAGGCCCUUGGAUCCCUGUUUGAUGCUCGGCUAGCUGGCUUGGCAGUCCUGAAGCUUUGGCCUCUGCCUCUGCCUCACCCCAUGACCCUUCUAUAACCUGAGCAGACCACCACCACAUCAGCUCUACCAUCUAUAUGGACACAUAGCCCACCUCUUAUGAGCAGAGCACCAGCUGAUCACUGCAUUCUCUAGAUGGGAGCAUUCAGCCAAUAAGAGUAUCACCAGCUCCUUGGGGAGGGCCCCAAAUCGCACACCAAGUCCCAAGAACCAUCAUGGUGGUCGUGCAGUACCAUGAGCAGGUGAGGAAGUGGCCAGCAACAGACAGCUGAGGGGAGACUGGAAACUGACCUCCAACUCCAGGCCCUGUGUGCUGGCAUAGGGGAGUAGUAAUUCUACAAGGAGCCAGACACAAGAUGUUUUGUCAGCCAAGGUUAACUUAGGCCCCUCAGAAGACAACCUGAACAGCUAUCCUGCCUGAAGGAAAGGCUUAUGCCCCAGAUAGAGCAGACCUUGUAUCCACUGGCAAUGAUGGGAUCCUCUAACGCCAAGGCAAUCCACUGACUCAGGAGUCAGGGUAUGAGGUCAAUCUACCUAGGACAGGAGGGAGGGGCCAGGGACACCAGGAACUCGCUGCCAUCUGACUACACGGCACAGCAAACUCAUCGCAUCACAGGCAUGAGUAUCGCUGCUUCCACCCCCCAGUGAUGACUGAGAGGCAGGAACAGGCACACAGGCUGUUCCAGGGUACCCUGUCAUUGGGUGUAGCUGAAAAUUUGGGCUGACCCCUCAAGUUCAGAGGCCUCCCAGAACUGCAGGGACACUGCUGACCCAGUCAGUAACUCUGUGGCUUCCAAGUAUCCUCACACCCUGGUGAUCCCAUGGGCUUCUAGAAGGGACUCUGUUGCAGGGAGGUAUGACAUCAGAGCAGAGGCAAUACAGGGCAGAGCCAGAAUACCAGUCCAGUAUAGCAAGACGAAUCAAGAGCCACCCCCAAGAGCCUAGUCAGGUGCCUUAAGCUGGUAUCUACCCUGUGCCCUACAUUCCUGGGCCUCCUGUGCUCAGAAUCUACAACAAAGCAACUCUUAGAAAUUUGAACUUAUGGAUUUAAAAAUU